GGUUGUGGCUCAGUGGUAGAGUGCUUGCCUAGCAUGUGUGAGGCACUGGGUUUAAUACUCAGCACCA
rnacentral:tRNA from 1 species